GCAAAAUUCUCCACAUGCUUCACUCCCUUCUGCUGGCCAAAUGGAGAGGAUCUGGCUGCUAGAGGAGGAAGGCGCCAAGAACAAGCUGGAUCCUUGAAUGCAAACACAGCCCUUCUGCUGAUUCAGUGGACUGUGACCUCUGCUCCUGAUGCCCGUCAACCCUAGAUGCCAGCUGUUACUGAUCCGUGUACUCUCCCCUGAUGUAAGCGAUGACACCCAGAGGAAGUCCUUCCUGACAUCGAGGGACAAAAGGCUGAAAACUGGAAAACCUGAGACCUGAAGACCUGACUGUUGAUCAAAGGUGACAUCUCAGCUGAAUAAAAAAGAAAAGCCCAG